GCCCAGGUAGCUCAGUUGGUAGAGCAGAGGACUGAAAAUCCUCGUGUCGGCGGUUCGAUUCCGUCCCUGGGCA
rnacentral:tRNA from 1 species